rnacentral:rRNA from 1 species
UACAGAGGAUGCAAGCGUUAUCCGGAAUGAUUGGGCGUAAAGCGUCUGUAGGUGGCUUUUUAAGUCCGCCGUCAAAUCCCAGGGCUCAACUCUGGACAGGCGGUGGAAACUACCAAGCUGGAGUACGGUAGGGGCAGAGGGAAUUUCCGGUGGAGCGGUGAAAUGCGUAGAGAUCCGGAGGAACACCGAAGGCGAAGGCAGUGUCCUGGCGAGUGACUGACGCUGAGGUGCGAAAGCCAGGGGAGCGAACGGG